CAGCAGCCGCGGUAAUACGUAAGUCCCGAGCGUUGUCCGGAUUUAUUGGGCGUAAAGCGAGCGCAGGCGGUUUGAUAAGUCUGAAGUUAAAGGCUGUGGCUCAACCAUAGUUCGCUUUGGAAACUGUCAAACUUGAGUGCAGAAGGGGAGAGUGGAUUUCCAUGUGUAGCGGUGAAAUGCGUAGAUAUAUGGAGGAACACCGGUGGCGAAAGCGGCUCUCUGGUCUGUAACUGACGCUGAGGCUCGAAAGCGUGGGGAGCGAACAGGAUUAGAUACCCCAGUAGUCCCUGUCUCUUAUACC
rnacentral:rRNA from 1 species